GCAGGAUUUAGAACUUUUGGAGUGAGGACCUAAGACAGAAUAAAGAAAUAUAUUCUAAUGAUACUAUAGGAUACUCACCCAAGGCUCUAAGUUUUAUCUCAGAGUACAGUCUAACUUUCUAUCUCUCCACUUGAAUAUACAAAACUUGGGUAAAUGAUCAGAGUUCUUGAGUAAAGAACUACAUAAACCUUCAUCAGAGUCCUAUGUGUGCUCAGAAAGGCUUGGGAAUGGCAAUGCUGGUGGUAAUACUGCCCACCCAAACCUGUCUACAUAAUGGGCAUCGUCUCCUGGUUGGUAUUCCUGGACAGUGAGGUGUAUCUGCUAAGCAUGAUGCAACUGAAGUCAUUGCAAGCCUGAUUCUUGUUCCUGUGUUGAUAACCAGCGAUACUUUAUGGGCCAGAGAAGAAAGGGGCUUCUCAGACAAUUUACAGCUUCUCUUGGAGGAAAGGUAAUUAAGAACACCAAAGUCGUCAUACUUUAUUGUCUUUGGUUAAUAUUUCAAGUGUAUCCUUUUUCAGUAAAAUGGCAGCAUGUAUCAUCACUCUGGUAGUAAAAGUGAGCUGAAUAUGAAGAAAAUAGCACUUACCCAAAGCCAAGGACAAGGAACCCUGGGCAGCAUGGGCAGUGAGCCAUCAGGGCAGCAGGGUGCUCAGUCAGUGAUCAGCAGGGUGAUCAGCAGUCAGGCAGCAGAUCUUAGCUUGGAGACAGCAGGUGAAGAAAGAGAUGUUGAUGUUCAACUUUUAUAUACUUUGCUGAGUUUCCUCUCUCUUUCACUCAGAGACCUAGGUGUCCUUUUUGUGAUGAGUCUUUUAGGUUGCAAACAAAAAGAAUAAUAGAGACUUUUUAUAAGGACAGACAGGAGAAAGCAGCAACUUGGGGAAACCAACCAGGCCUUCCAGAGACUGGAUAUCUUGGAAGAUGGAAGGUUGUUCAGGGAAGCUCACUGAUUCUUUGUAAUCAGGCAUUGUCUCAGGGUGUUCUAUCAAUCUAUGAUUUUGAUGACUUUUGUUUUCUUUUGCUCACCCUUUAGGAUUCUUGCAACCAUAAAUUCUUGUUUACUACUCAGCACUAGCUUGUAAUGUUUUUCAUAGUUUCUGCUUUCUCAAGUCUUUUGCAAAGACCAUCAGAUUCUCUCUGCCUGACUCAGUUAAAUUACGAAGGAGACUUUGAUUGAUGUGAACUUUCAGAAUCCAGUUCAAGAAAUGCUUAUUGGGCAGGGCUUUUAACUACACCAGACCCAUGACCAUCUAUACUUUGGAAAUGUCAGUGGGUAUGGAUGCCAGGAAUGUGGAAAGCAGGACAGUGGAGGCUAUUCCUGCAAGAUACUGCAGCUAAAGAAUUUCACAUUGAUUCCUGACUCCACAGAAUGCACUUAGAGAUUCCUUGUGGCUCAGAAAAGAAAGAAGCCUAUAAUAUUCAUAUUAUAGUCAUCUGUAGGUAAAAGGGAAAAUGCAAAGGUCCUGACUCUCACACACCACUUGCCUGGGAGGCCUUCCUAGGGCAGCAGUGGAAGUGACCAUUUCCUUCAGAAUUGCCUGUGAGUAUGGCAGACAUUUGGGUUAUUUAUUUAUUUUCUCCUAUCCCUAGCCAUUCUUCUCUAAGCCAGAAAUAAUUCAAUAAUGAAAUCAUGAAUGAUUAUGAAAUUUGUCAAGAGUGAAUGCCCAAUGAGGUCCCAAAGGGGAUUUUGUGAUAGGUAUUACAAGGAAACUUGGGAAAUGGCCAUGGUGGAAUGUCUAAGGGCUGAGACUUGCCUGUGGGUGUGGCUGGGAAGGAGUGCCCAGGAACAGGCCCAGGGUGGGUUUCUCCUGUCACUUUAACCUGAAUUUUUUCGGCUGUUUAAUCAUGUAUUUUCCAAUCAUAUAUUUUAUUGUCACGGGAAGUUUGUAGCUGGGCUCCUUUAACACCAAGCAAGUUCUCCAACAAGACUUUCAGGCUUCUAAAAAUAAUACCAUUUUUUUAUCAUUUAAUAUCAGUAAUUAUUAAACCACUACUUUUUCCACUUAAAAUUUUUCUUUCAAGUCCUCCUUUCAAUAUAAGUUUGAUAGCUUCUGGUUGCGUGUGUCACUAAUACUAUUUGGUGUGCACUAUUUGGAAAUUUUUGAUCUUUCAGUUAAAAAAUACAAAAAUAAUAAAAACAAAUGACAUUCCAUUAUUACAUAGUAUAAAUAUUAAGAUUAUAUUAAAUUGUAUUAUACAAAUUUGUCUUUUAAAGAAAUUCCUUAUCACGAGACUAGUUUCCCGUCAUAUUUUACAUUGAAAAACCAAAAAACCCAAUCUGAAAUUUGAAAGAAACUUACAAAAGAGCCAGAAGUUGUAGUUCUCUUCUGAUUCCAUCUAAAACAUGCUCUACAAGAUGAAGCAGAAAAUGCGAUGACAAAUAUGAUACUAUAUGAUUAUAUACAUAUUGUAUAUACAUACAUACAUAUAUUUCCAAGGUAUAGUCUUCCUUUUUUAUUCAUAGUUAAAAGUAAUCCUGAAAAUAUCAUUGUAUAAUUUUUUUUUAUUAUUUACAAGGUAUGCUGUGAAGUUUUUAUGCUCUAUGAUGAUAAACUUUUACUUUUCACAUUGAUCCUUCCAUGGAGACAUGAAUCUCUUCUUUUUAUUUCUCCUCUAAGACAGAUUCUUAUUUCACUGAUGCUCAAAAAUAAUAAGAACCCCAGGCAUCAUAGUACUUACUAAUCUAUUUCUCUAAGUGUAGAACUGACCACAACUCAAUAUACAUAUCUGUAUGUAUAUGUAUAAUCUUUUUCACUUCAAAUAUAUAUAAAAUAAUUCUUAAAAUGAAUACAUAUGAAUCACAUAUGUAUUCAUUCAUAUGAUUAUCUACUGAAAAUAGAUAAUAAGUGGUCUUAAUGUUGUUUAAAGAAGAAUACUUAGAACAAUAUUAAUGAUGUGGCUUGGAACAUAAAAAGGAUAUUUGCAAAGUCUUGAUGGCUGUGUUUUGUGUCUUGACUAGACAGAAUAUUUAAAUGUGGUUGAUUUAAAUGGAUGAUCCACUUGAAUUCUAUACUUUCUAAAAAGCUCUUUCAACUAGUUCCUUAUUAUCAAUGACAGCUAAUCUUUACUUUAUAUCCUCAAGCACUUGUCAAAGGGGCAGAGACCAUUCUAGGCUCAACCCCAUAAGAGCUCCAGUUCUAAAAUAAAAAACUGUCACUCAGUUCUAUCAUUCCACACUUGAUGAUCUCAUUUAUGCCCUCCUUUCUGUUCCCAGGGCCACCAACCUAGCUCAGAACCUCAUGCUUUUCUCUUGGUGUUUUAGUGGCCUCUGACCUGAACUACGCCAGGUGGCUUACUCAUGAAUUCCAAAUUCAUGUCCUUCAGAGCCUGGUUUCCUGAUCAUGUCACUUGCUUACACAUGCACUUAAAGUGAUUACAAAAUACAGCAAGUCCUGAACAGCCCAGUGGCAAGAAUAGAAGAGGAAGUGCAUGGGGAAAGAGCAGAGCUGAGAGGUGGUGAGAGGAAAAGUACAAGAGCCAGAUUUUCAUCUGGGAUGGGCUGGAGAAAAGAUUCAGUCUUGUCAAGUGCUGCUGGGCCCCUCUCUAGACCUUCCCUGUAUGCCCCACACUUGAACUAAAGGAAGACCAAGAUCAAAUUCCUGUGAAGGAGAGAGAAUCAUCACCUAGAGAAGAGACAGUUUCACUUCUUCAAAGACUGUAUUCCUGUUCAGCCCAGUUGCAGGUAGUUGAAUGGUAGACACCCAAAAGGCAUGCCAAAUCCCUGGAAAGAUGAGAUUAAGGAUCUAGAGAUGGAGUCAUCUUGGAUUGUCAGGUGAACCUUAAAUCCAGCAGCAAGUGUCUGUGUGAGAGAAAGACGGGAGAUUUGGGACACAGACAGAAGAAAUGAAGAUGAUAAACCUGUUGGCAGAGACUGCAGUGAUAUGGCCCCAAGUCCAAGAAUGCAGUUGCCUCCAGCAGAGACGAGGACUAAAGCUGCAUAGAGCCUCUAGAGAGAGCCCAGCAGCCUACAGCCUUGACUUCACACAUUUGGCCUUCAUAACUCUGAGCUGAUACCUUUCUGUUUGAUGCCACAAGUUUGUGGAGAUUUAUUGCAGCAGCCACAGGAAAGGAAUACACAAGAGAUCACGGGACCUCACAAACAAUACAGGCGGCUACUGCUUCAUAACCUGAGCAGAGUCCCAGCAGAGAGGAAAAGAGUGGGACAAUGAGGACGCCACUGUAGUGGCCUUGGGUUAUUCUUUUCUGCUGCUUCAGGCACUCUUCCUUGGCCCUGUGCUUGGUCCUGCUCCAAAUGCACACAGUUUGGCAUCAGCGACUUCUCGUUUAUAGCCUCCCUUCUGCUAUAGCAUCUUUGACUUUGCCAUCAAUCUCAGAUUUUUGUACUAAUAAAAUAUAAUUUCUUCUCCAUAAA